UAGGGAAUUUUCCACAAUGGGGGCAACCCUGAUGGAGCAACGCCGCGUGCAGGAUGAAGGCUUUCGGGUCGUAAACUGCUUUUAUGUGCGAAGAAUAUGACUGUAACACAUGAAUAAGGGUCGGCUAACUACGUGCCAGCAGCCGCGGUCAUACGUAGGACCCAAGCGUUAUCCGGAAUUACUGGGCGUAAAGAGUUGCGUAGGUGGUUUGUUAAGUGAGUAGUGAAAUCGUGUGGCUCAACCAUACACACAUUACUUAAACUGGCAGACUUGAGUAUGAUAGAUGUAACUGGAAUUCCAAGUGUAGGAGUGAAAUCCGUAGAUAUUUGGAGGAACACCGAUGGCGUAGGCAGGUUACUGGAUCAUUACUGACACUGAGGCACGAAAGCGUGGGGAGCAAACG
rnacentral:rRNA from 1 species